rnacentral:ncRNA from 16 species
CGCUACCGCUGGGUCGAUGGUUCCCGGUCGUGCAUGCGCCGGGAUGAAAAGGGAACACGGUGCGGCCCUCUGGCGACAGAGGACCAAUGCCGAGACUGCCCCCGCAACUGUAAGCGGUGAGCGAUGCCGAAAUGCCACUGGCCCCCGGGCCGGGAAGGCCGGCAAAGCCCGGACCCGCAAGUCAGGAGACCUGCCAUCGCAACCGUAACUCGA